GACGAACGCUGGCGGCGUACCUAAUACAUGCAAGUCGAGCGGACUUUCAAGAAGCUUGCUUUUUGAAAGUUAGCGGCGGACGGGUGAGUAACACGUGGGCAACCUGCCUGUAAGACGGGGAUAACUCCGGGAAACCGGGGCUAAUACCGGAUAAUAUCUUUCUUCGCAUGAAGGAAGGUUGAAAGGCGGCGCAAGCUGCCGCUUGCAGAUCGGCCCGCGGGGCAUUAGCUAGUUGGUGAGGUAACGGCUCACCAAGGCGACGAUGCGUAGCCGACCUGAGAGGGUGAUCGGCCACACUGGGACUGAGACACGGCCCAGACUCCUACGGGAGGCAGCAGUAGGGAAUCUUCCGCAAUGGACGAAAGUCUGACGGAGCAACGCCGCGUGAGCGAAGAAGGUCUUCGGAUCGUAAAGCUCUGUUGUCAGGGAAGAACAAGUACCGUUCGAAUAGGGCGGUACCUUGACGGCACCUGACCAGAAAGCCACGGCUAACUACGUGCCAGCCGCCGCGGUAA
rnacentral:rRNA from 1 species